rnacentral:rRNA from 1 species
UGGCCUUGACAUACUAAGAACUUUCCAGAGAUGGAUUGGUGCCUUCGGGAACUUAGAUACAGGUGCUGCAUGGCUGUCGUCAGCUCGUGUCGUGAGAUGUUGGGUUAAGUCCCGCAACGAGCGCAACCCUUUUCCUAUUUGCCAGCGGGUUAAGCCGGGAACUUUAAGGAUACUGCCAGUGACAAACUGGAGGAAGGCGGGGACGACGUCAAGUCAUCACGGCCCUUACGGCCAGGGCUACACACGUGCUACAAUGGUCGGUACAAAGGGUUGCUACCUCGCGAGAGGAUGCUAAUCUCAAAAAGCCGAUCGUAGUCCGGAUCGCAGUCUGCAACUCGACUGCGUGAAGUCGGAAUCGCUAGUAAUCGCGGAUCAGAAUGCCGCGGUGAAUACGUUCCCGGGCCUUGUACACACCGCCCGUCACACCAUGGGAGUUUGUUGCACCAGAAGUAGGUAGUCUAACCGCAAGGAGGACGCUUACCACGGUGUGGCCGAUGACUGGGGUGAAGUCGUAACAAGGUAAGCGUAGAUGA